UAGACCCCACUCCCUGGCACGGCUCAAGUCUCUACCCACACAGGCCCAGAGGAUCCACCACCUGCUGUCCACCUGUUGUGAUUCCUAACAGUAAGAUCCGACCUGUCCUAACACUGAGGCAGCAACCACCAGAGAUCUCAGGCAAGUAAUCAGCAUCUGGAAGGCCCAAAAGCUUCAGUCUCUCCAUUGUACAAUAGUUGGCAUCUUACUUUUCGCUGCAGAUAAAGCGUUGCAGAACAGUUCAUUGCAUCAGGACAGAAUAUCACUUGGUCCUCCAGUCCUCCCUAACAAUCCAUAAUAUUGAGUAACAAUAAAGCUAUUGUUGUGGACCUGAUGAAGGCGUGAGAACACGCCAAAAUACGUUGUCCAGUUGCAACUUUUUAUAUUCCAAUAAAAAGAAUCCUGUG